UACGUAGGGUGCGAGCGUUAAUCGGAAUUACUGGGCGUAAAGCGUGCGCAGGCGGUUCGCCAAGUCAGGUGUGAAAUCCCCGGGCUCAACCUGGGAAUUGCGCUUGAAACUAGCGAGCUUGAGUGUGGCAGAGGGGGGUGGAAUUCCACGUGUAGCAGUGAAAUGCGUAGAGAUCCGGAGGAACACCAGUGGCGAAGGCGACACGCUGGGCCAUACCUGACGCUAAAGCGCGACAGCAUGGGGAGCAAACGGG
rnacentral:rRNA from 1 species